CGCCGAGGGGCCGGGGCCGGGGCCGGGGCCGGGGCCGGGCAGCCCGGCAGUCAGCGGAGGGGCCCGCGCGCCUCGGUCCGGCCCGGCCGCUUCCCUGCAUUCAGCGCCUCCUGGGCCUCGAGGCCGGCGGCGGCGGUGCGGGCCCUGGCUGCCCGCGCCCCUCGUGGGUUUCUGGCCCGAGAAGGUGGGCCCUGGCCUGGCAGCGGGGAGCCAGCCUCGGAGGGACCCAGGUUCCAGGUGCUGAGCGCCCUGGUCCCUCUGCCAUACUGGUGCGCCAUCACUUUAACAGCCUGGUCCCGGCACGAGGUGCCAGGCAGGCUCUUCCUCCUGGGUCAGCGGAGAAAUAAGUCAGAGGUGUCGGUGAAAUGGGGGACCCCUCCUUUGACAAGAAAAACGAACAGCAAGCUUAAGGUCAAACAUUUCCUUCACGAAUCUCGGACCCCAGACAACCCGCACCCAUCUCACCGCAUAGGUUGUGCACACCUCUCUUCCUGAGAGGAGAUCCCUGAUCAGGACAACUUGGUCAGUCAUCCCAAAGCCAUGGCUCUGAUAGAAACAACACACACAAGAGCCCAGGAGGCCAGGACACAGGCCUUGGAUUUCCUGACACUUGCCUCUGCCCAGGGAGGAGCGACUUGGGCUAUUGUUCCCAUGGUAAGAGCUCUGAGCAUUCAGGUAAUUGUUCAGACUUACAAGCAAUAUAAUGCUUAAUGGCCAUUUUGUCUACUGGGCAUAGGAGAACAAAGACCAGGAAGACUUGUUGGACAGGAAAUGCUAAGCACCAGGAAUCAAACAUAUAAGGAACUAAAACUGCCAAGAAGCACCCAAUCAUGCACCCAGUCCCACAUCCACCUUCCUGUUAACCCAAGCCCACUGCCCAAGCCCACCAACCAAGCCCCCAAACCCCACUGACGACAAAAGCUUCCGGCCAAAGGCUGCAUAUAAGGAACAGACUCCAGCUCUUAGGGGCUGCCACCAUUCACCCAACACUCUUUGGCUCAGUGCUACGUAGCCCUUCCCUUUGGAUAUCCCCAUCUCCUUUUCUUUAAAUAAAUUCAACUUUUCUUUAUUCGCCAUCUAGGAUUGCUAUUUAGCCUGCCGUGCACCACCACCUUGAACCUUUCAGUCAAUAUGAUUUUUGCUCCCAGAGGGCCACAAAUAACUGGAAUCAGUGACACUGAGGAUAAGAAAGAAAACCCAGAACUCUUCACUCAUGCAACAGGAGAAAGGGCAGGCGGGACCGUAAUUCAUAUUCUGGAGCCACUGUGUGGUCAGUUCAUCGGGAACCCAGCACAGGACCAGGUCUGAGGAGAGUGGAGGAGCCAACAGUGUUAGGGAAGAUGAGCUUCCUUCCAUCCCACCCGAGUCGGAGGCUGCUUGUUUGGUUAUGCAUCAUGCUUUUUUAGCUCUCUAUCCCACCCUGGAGCUCCCUACAUGCUCUAGCACAGAUUGCCCUGUGACACAUUGUGUGUGUGUGUGUGUGUGUGUGCAUGCGUGCGCACACCAUGUCCAACCCCAGUGCACAGCAGCUUUGACCAGCUGUGCAGCCUGACAGUGCUCACCUCGAGCCUGCCUUGUGUUACCUCCUGCUUUCUUCCCAGGGGACAGAACCUGCUUGGGACUUAUGCAUGUGCAGCUUGGACAUGUGGGAGGCUGACAUGUAGGGGGCUGCUUUCGAUGAAUGGGGGACGGAGGCUAAUAUAUAAAUGCUUCCCCCUCUUAUCUAUGUGCAGAUAGUUUUGAGAUAGAUUUCAGAAGGCUCCUCAUAUGUUCUGGAUGGAUGGAGCAGUGCCCUUGGUGCUGGCCAACCUCUUGCUCCUUCCCUGUUUCCUCUGCCUGUCCUUUACUCCUGCUUCCUGGAAUCUUGUCCCCAAAUAAACCAUCUGACUGCACAGGAGCACUGGCCUCAGGCUCUGCUUUUAUUAUUAUUUUUUAAAAAUAUAUUUUCAUUGAUUUCAGAGAGAAAGGAAGAGGGAGUGAUAGAAACAUCAAUGAUGAGAAUCAUUGAUUGGCUGCUUCCAGCAUGCCCCACAGGGGG